CGUAGGCAGCAAGCGUUGUUCGGAGUUACUGGGCGUAAAGAGUAUGUAGGCGGUUAUCUAAGUCUGGUGUGAAAUCUCCCGGCUCAACUGGGAGGCUGCAUUAGAUACUGGAUAGCUUGAGCGUGGGAGAGGAAAGCGGAAUUUCUGGUGUAGCGGUGAAAUGCGUAGAUAUCAGAAGGAACACCUGCGGUGAAGACAGCUUUCUGGACCACAGCUGACGCUGAGAUACGAAAGCGUGGGUAGCAAACAGGAUUAGAUACCCUGGUAGUCCACGCCCUAAACGAUGCACACUUGGUGUGAGCCAUUCAUUUGGUUUGUGCCGGAGCUACCGCGUUAAGUGUGCCGCCUGGGGAGUACGGUCGCAAGGCUG
rnacentral:rRNA from 1 species